rnacentral:miRNA from 1 species
UUACCGAUUCCACCCAUUCCUA